rnacentral:rRNA from 1 species
UACGUAGGGGGCAAGCGUUGUCCGGAAUCAUUGGGCGUAAAGAGCGUGUAGGCGGCUCGAUAAGUCCGUUCUGAAAGUCCAGGGCUCAACCCUGGGUUGCGGAUGGAUACUGUCGGGCUCGAGUCCGGAAGAGGCGAGUGGAAUUCCCGGUGUAGCGGUGAAAUGCGCAGAUAUCGGGAGGAACACCAAUGGCGAAGGCAGCUCGCUGGGACGUUACUGACGCUGAGACGCGAAAGCGUGGGGAGCAAACAGG